rnacentral:rRNA from 1 species
UACGUAGGUGGCGAGCGUUGUCCGGAUUUACUGGGCGUAAAGGGCGUGCAGGCGGUUUGUUAAGUGCAGGGUGAAAGCUCCCGGCUCAACUGGGAGAGGUCCUUGCAUACUGGCGAACUCGAGGGAGGCAGAGGAAAGUGGAAUUCCCGGUGUAGUGGUGAUAUGCGUAGAUAUCGGGAGGAACACCUGUGGCGAAGGCGGCUUUCUGGGCCUUACCUGACGCUGAGACGCGAAAGCGUGGGGAG